UGGUUUACAAGUGUCACACGGAACUGCCGGUCAUAAACCGGAGGAAGGUGGGGGAGUGACGUCAAGUCAGCAUGGCCUUUAUAUCCUGGGCUACACACACGCUACAAUGGGAAGGGACAAUAGGUUGCGAAGCCGCGAGGCGGAGCCAAUCCAGCAAAACUUCCCUCAGUUCAGAUUGCAGGCUGCAACCCGCCUGCAUGAAGUUGGAGUUGCUAGUAAACGCAGGUCAGCCAUACUGCGUUGAAUACGUUCCCGGGGCUU
rnacentral:rRNA from 1 species